rnacentral:rRNA from 1 species
ACUCCUACGGGAGGCAGCAGUGGGGAAUAUUGCACAAUGGGGAACCUGAUGCAGCCAUGCCGCGUGUGUGAAGAAGGCCUUCGGGUUGUAAAGCACUUUUCAGUAGGAGGAAGGUAGUGUAGUUAACACCUGCAUUAUUUGACGUUAGCGACAGAAGAAGCACCGGCUAACUCCGUGCCAGCAGCCGCGGUAAUACGGAGGGUGCGAGCGUUAAUCGGAAUUACUGGGCGUAAAGCGCAUGCAGGUGGUUUGUUAAGUCAGAUGUGAAAGCCCGGGGCUCAACCUCGGAAUUGCAUUUGAAACUGGCAGACUAGAGUACUGUAGAGGGGGGUAGAAUUUCAGGUGUAGCGGUGAAAUGCGUAGAGAUCUGAAGGAAUACCGGUGGCGAAGGCGGCCCCCUGGACAGAUACUGACACUCAGAUGCC